UCGUGCAACUCGUGUUAGUCGCAGAAGUAAGCCAGUUCCAUAGACUGGGGGGAGGAUCGCUCGUUCGUACGCCUCCACGGCCAGUCGACACACAAUUAGGGUGAAUCUGAGCCUUCGGUCUCUACGACUUGCACACGUACCGUACUUCUAUAGUUGAGUUCAACUCCAUUCACUAGUGUUCCCCGUAUGUACCCAGACCUCGACCAUACCACUUCAGGAAAGUGCUCCGCCUACUAAGAUCGCCGUUCAUGUAAACAGCAGAAGGUUCGUCAAUGCUCUAACACCAUUACAGCAUACUCCAUCCAUCCAAACAGCCAGUCCGAGUGAAGGAGUUCUAGCGCUGUGACUGGCACAUAACCCUCUAUGCUCACUCAUGCCCACUUAUUACUUUCUUACAACAGCACGUACACACUGCGGUAUACAAGGCUUGACAAGCCUUAACAGGGCUCAAGUCAUGUGCAGUACUUUUCCUCUUUGUUGUUCAUGACCCACGCAAGCGUGGAUCGACUACACAAGGUCUUUUUUUGCGGGCUGGAACGCUCGACUCGGAGCUUCGAUCACCCAUCAGAUUAAUGACUUGACAGCGAGUUCCAGAAGAUACAUUCCAGGCGUCUGAAUUUCAAAAUUCGGAUCAUGUCACAUGCUCGAGAUUCUCGGGCAUGCUCAAGACUGAUGUUUAUCACAAAAAUCUGUCACAUUCGAGAUUCAUUCUUUUUCCAUUAGUACUCCUUGCACUCCAACAUAUUCCCAAGGUACACCUGGGUCUCUUCGUCACGUCACAUGUCUUCUUUGAGGGAUUGGCCUCUGGCUAACGAGCCUUGAGGCAGUGUCAAAAAUUGCCGUUUUUGCGUUUCUUCAAAUUUUGGGCCUAAAGUGUGGAGCAAAACGAAGAUCCACUGAGCGGAACCCAAAAAUUAUGUCAAGAGACGACAAUCCUCUGAUCCACGAACGGAGCUAACCAUCUUUGUCAAUGUAGGAAGACCAAGGAAUUGAAAGUACGAAUGUACAUUAGCAACUUUAGUAACUUCCAUGCUUCAUUGCGGUCAGGAAGGGGGAAGGAAACUUGUACAACACAACGCUCCACUCCAACUGGGAUGAUUCGUUCGGAUUCCGAUUGGUGUCUUGAAGAAGUGACGUUAUUAACACGGAAAAGUACCUUUCUCAAGUACCAGACUAUGUAGGGGAGCGCGUCGAAAAUUGCUUUUUGUAUUUGUGCUGUCGUCGACAACUAGCCAAAAAGGAAGAUCCAAAGGUCUUUGAAGUCUUUUGUUUGCGAGGGCGAAGCGAUCAAGCGCCAACAAAGUGUCACAAAUGCAAGCUCUAGCAAUCACACACAAUGAAGAUAAACAUGGGCAAGCAAAAGGACGACCACCAUUUCGUGAAGAAUUCUCCCCUGCAAUACCGCAACCACCUAGUCUGACAAUGGUGAGGUGAAUUGAUCCUCUGAUGUGUUUCGUUUGGAAAAGCUUUUUGUGGCACAUUCAAGUGAGGUGCUCUUCAAUUUGCACUAUCAUUUGAAAAGCCUCCAAGAAUCUUCGCCACCGAGACGGCUCAAACACAAACACGUUGGAUCAAGAAUGUCCUGACUGAGCCGAUGCAUCAAUGUCAUUUUCCGAGGUGCCAAAUUGGCUCAAGCACUAAUGAUUGAAGGAUCUUGCUACACUCCUCCGUCGUCCCUGUGUUCAUUGUGCUCUACUAUGAGAUGCACAAGAAUUUUCUUGUCGUACUUUGGAAUCCUAGAGAAACAUCAUCCUUUCAGAUAAAAUAGGCCACUUCAACCUUCUCCACCGCACAAGUGUCUUCAUGUCGAAAAUGAUGUUUGAAGAUGUUGGACCUGGGACCCUCUUUCACUUGUCCAUAAUGAGUCUAGCAAGGCCAUUGGUUGUUCACAAUGGUAUAUGAUGUGAAUACAGUGGAAUGUUCAUCCAAACUCCGAACGGGAAAGAACGAGAGAGAGAAGAUGCAAGCAAGCAAGCAAGAGAGAAGGUUUGUUCACCAGCUAGUCACUCACUCACUCACUCACCCACUUACUCACUCGCCUACUCUCUGAAGACUGACUGUGUGCUAAUAUAUCCAGUCUAUCUUUUUUUUGUGGUACGUAAGUCAGAUUGGUUGUUCGCCCCAUUAGCACACAAAGGGGCCCCGGUGGAACCAGUCCACGAGAACGAGACGAUCUCGCCUCGGACCCAAAUCUGUUGACGCGUGGAAAGAAGGCCAACUGAGGUUAGGAGGAUGAUACGUUGCACGACUUCGUGGGAGAAGAACGACUGCGACGAUGUCUCUGCCUGAGCUUCGAAGACCCACAAGAUGGAUCUAAUGGUGAAAGGACUCAGAACCAACCGCUCUUCGGACGGUGGAACGAAGGCGCCGGCUCUUACGCAAAGCCCUCAUUCACACGGACUACGUACGUUCAUCCAUAUUGGUAUUCGUACUUGGAGGAUCCACCCGAGAAAAGAGGAGGAAAGGCAACCACGGGCCAGGCUUCGCCGAUAUCGCUCAAGAUGAAAAGGGAGAACGUCCUGCCAAUGUUCCUAUCAAACAAUUGCUUGAUACCGGGUUUCGCUAGUUCCCGGAUUUUGCGUUUUUUCGCACUCCCAGAAUUGAGUUGGACGGGUCCUCAAAUUUCUGGCCCAGUGAUUAACCAUAGAUGUGCCUUGUUCGAGGCAAAUUUAGGUCCGUUCAACUAUAUAAAAGUGUGUAUAUAUAUGCAAAAAAAGCGAUUUCGGAUCGGUACGAACAUAUAAAGAAUGCAUUUGUUUGUAACCACCUUUGUAACUUAUUCGAAAAAUCCUGAAACUGAUAGAGCUUUCCAAAUAAUGGUAAGUAAUCAUAUUUGAACUCAGAGUAACAAUGUGAUGGAGAUAUUGCAAUCACAAAUACGUUGUCAAUCUCUUGAUCAGUUUUGGCCCACAAGCUUUGGUAUCACUCGCAGCUUUAGUAUGUCGAUUUCCUUUCUAUCCAUUAUUUUUGCUUUUUUCUGUUGAUAUGAUCUUUAUGAAUUUAUUUUCACGAUCUUUAUGGAUCUAUUUCCAUUAUCUUUUAGUUUAUUUAUGUGGUAAACUACUUUAAUUUUUUUUCCAAUUGAAUACAUUGUAUCACCAAGAAGACUACAA